AUUGAACGCUGGCGGCAUGCCUUACACAUGCAAGUCGAACGGUAACAGGUCUUCGGAUGCUGACGAGUGGCGAGCGGGUGAGUAAUACAUCGGAACGUGCCCGAUCGUGGGGGAUAACGCAGCGAAAGCUGUGCUAAUACCGCAUACGAUCUACGGAUGAAAGCGGGGGAUCGCAAGACCUCGCGCGGACGGAGCGGCCGAUGGCAGAUUAGGUAGUUGGUGGGAUAAAAGCUUACCAAGCCGACGAUCUGUAGCUGGUCUGAGAGGACGACCAGCCACACUGGGACUGAGACACGGCCCAGACUCCUACGGGAGGCAGCAGUGGGGAAUUUUGGACAAUGGGGGAAACCCUGAUCCAGCCAUGCCGCGUGCAGGAUGAAGGCCUUCGGUUGUAAACUGCUUUUGUACGGUAACGAAAGGUACCUUUCUAAUAAAGAGGACUCAUGACGGUACCGUAAGAAUAAGACACCGGCUAACUACGUGCCAGCAGCCGCGGUAAA
rnacentral:rRNA from 1 species